GUUCACCCAGGUAAGGCCAAGAGAGAGAGAGAGUUAAUGGCAGUCAGAGCAUCAGUCUUCUGUCUUAUCGGAGUCAAUGGCGAUCAAAGCAUCACUUCUCUGUCUAAUCGGAGUUAAUGGCGAUUGGAGCAUCACUACUCUUAACGGGAUCUGGUAGACUUAAUAGCACGUGGAGCAGACGCGCUAGAGAAGCGUGUCUACACUAGAAUUGAAUGUUUUGGCACCAAAUUUGGAGUUUUGAGUGACCAAUUUGCCCUACCACUUGCUUAUAUAACCAUGAAGCCACCAAACCAACUAUUUCCAACCAAAAAAUUCUGGGACCACUUACAUUUUUGAAGAUGUCAUCCUCCCAGCUUAGCUCGUACAUGCUACUAUGGCCAAACGUCUCCGGUGAAAACAGCUUGGACAAAUGCAAAUAUGGAAAGAAGAUUUAUACGAUUUGCAAACUAUGGGAUUCAUGUCACUUGUGAAUAUUUUGAGUGGAUUGACCCACCAUUGUGCCGCCGCUCGUGUGAUCUACUACCAAGACUUGUGCAACGAGUAAAUCAUAUGGAGUUUGAAGUUGAAAAAACUCAAAAAAAAGGAAAAGUCGUAUCGAAGAAUAUUGCUAGGAAGUUGGAUACUGUUUGUAUGCUAUAUUGCAUGUACUCUAAAAUGAAGAGAGAGAGAGAGAAAGAGAGACAAAAAAAAAGUGUUAUGUAACCUGAUAUGAGGAAUGAAAAUAUGUAAUAUUGAAGACUAUUUUGAG